rnacentral:misc_RNA from 1 species
UCCGUUUUGUCAACGGCAGUCUCAUUAGAGUGCCCGGCCGAACCGCUGGCAACUAAUGAUAAGGGUUGCGCUCGUUGCGGGACUUAACCCAACAUCUCACGACACGAGCUGACGACAGCCAUGCAGCACCUGUGUUCCGAUUCCCGAAGGCACCCCCGCAUCUCUGCAGGGUUCCGGACAUGUCAAGACCAGGUAAGGUUCUUCGCGUUGCAUCGAAUUAAACCACAUACUCCACCGCUUGUGCGGGCCCCCGUCAAUUCCUUUGAGUUUCAACCUUGCGGUCGUACUCCCCAGGCGGGGUACUUCCUGCGUUAGCGCCGGCACCCAGAGGGUCGCUCCCCCAGGCACCUAGUACCCAUCGUUUACGGCGUGGACUAC